AGAACGAACGCUGGCGGCAUGCCUAACACAUGCAAGUCGAACGAGACCUUCGGGUCUAGUGGCGCACGGGUGCGUAACGCGUGGGAAUCUGCCCUUGGGUUCGGGAUAACAGUUGGAAACGACUGCUAAUACCGGAUGAUGACUUCGGUCCAAAGAUUUAUCGCCCAGGGAUGAGCCCGCGUAGGAUUAGCUAGUUGGUGAGGUAAAGGCUCACCAAGGCGACGAUCCUUAGCUGGUCUGAGAGGAUGAUCAGCCACACUGGGACUGAGACACGGCCCAGACUCCUACGGGAGGCAGCAGUGGGGAAUAUUGGACAAUGGGCGAAAGCCUGAUCCAGCAAUGCCGCGUGAGUGAUGAAGGCCUUAGGGUUGUAAAGCUCUUUUACCCGGGAUGAUAAUGACAGUACCGGAGAAUAAGCCCGCUAACUCCGUGCUAGCAGCCGC
rnacentral:rRNA from 1 species